rnacentral:rRNA from 1 species
CCGAUAGAGAAGAGUACCGAGAGGGAAAGGUGAAAAGCACCCCUGGCGGGGAGUGAAAGAGACCUGAACCCGUGUGCCUACAAGCGAUCGGAGCACGACCUGCGUUUUCGGACGCAGGGGAGUGUGACGGUAUGCCUUUUGUAAAAUGAGCCGGCGAGUUAUUGUGCGUAGCGAGGUUAAGGACUUUGAGGUCUGAAGCCGCAGGGAAACCGAGUCUGAAUAGGGCGCAUUAGUUUCGUACAAUAGACCCGAAGCCCGACGAUCUAUCCAUGUCCAGGUUGAAGCCCCGGUGAAGCGGGGUGGAGGACCGAACCGAAGCCUGUUGAAA